rnacentral:rRNA from 1 species
GAUGAACGCUAGCUACAGGCUUAACACAUGCAAGUCGCGGGGCAGCAUGGGGGUUGCUUGCAAUCCCCGAUGGCGACCGGCGCACGGGUGAGUAACGCGUAUUCAACCUGCCCUUCACCACGGGAUAACCCGGCGAAAGUCGGACUAAUACCGUAUGUUGUCCAUUGACGGCAUCCGAUUUGGACGAAAGGCUUGGCGGUGAGGGAUGGGGAUGCGUCCGAUUAGCCAGACGGCGGGGUAACGGCCCACCGUGGCUACGAUCGGUAGGGGUUCUGAGAGGAAGGUCCCCCACACUGGAACUGAGACACGGUCCAGACUCCUACGGGAGGCAGCAGUGAGGAAUAUUGGUCAAUGGGCGUAAGCCUGAACCAGCCAAGCAGCGUGCAGGAUGACGGCCCUAUGGGUUGUAAACUGCUUUUAUGCGGGGAUAAAGUGGCCCACGUGUGGGCUUUUGCAGGUACCGCAUGAAUAAGAACCGGCUAAUUCCGUG